CCUAAGUCCCAGCAAGCCUCUAUUAGGUGGUAUAUUCAGCGCUCUGGAGAAGAACAUCGAGAAGAGCUGAAGGCUGAUGAAAGGAUCAUCAAAACAGAGCAUGGGUUGCUGAUCCGCAGCUUGCAAAGAAGGGAUGCAGGAGCCUAUUUCUGCAAAGCUCAGGAGCACACCUUUGUCCAUACCAUUGUGAAGCUGAAUCUCAACAUCAUUGAGAAUGGGCAAAUGGAAAGCACUCAGAAAACUGAGGAUGAGGAGGGCCGGGUUAGGGAUUUGCUGACAGAGUCCCGGCUGAGGUACAAGGACUACAUCCAGCUUGUCAGCAGCCCCAGCUUUAGCCUGGAUGAAUACUGUGAACAGAUGUGGCACCGAGAGAAGCGGCGGCAGCGGAACAAAGGUGGUGCCAAAUGGAAGCAUGUGCAGGAGAUGAAAAAAAAGCGAAACCGAAGGCACCAUGAGCCAGCCAGGCCACCAUCUACGUAGUUUGUAAAUGCUAUUUAAAGAAGGGACAUUUUCCAUAGAGAAAAACAAAUACUGUGUUUUCGUUUUGUGCAUCUUGCCUAUGAAUUAGUACUGCUUCUUAUUGAAAUCAGAUAAUUCACCAUCACUAUUAAUCUGUAUGAGACUGUACAAGGGGAUUUGAUAUCAAAUGAGAUGUUCCUUAUUGGAGUACCACACACCAGGCAAUAAUUUCAAAUGCGUUCAUUAAAAAGAAAAGAUGUACACUUUUAGGUAAUUUCUGGGUAUCCUGAAGCUACGUGAGCUGUGUUCUGUACUUUCUGCAUAAUUUUAACAUAGGGUUUAGUGUCUGUGUUCCCAUGUUGAUAUUUGCUGCCACAUUCCACCCCAGAGGUGGCUACAUUUCAGGAGAGUGCAGAUGUAUUUCUAGUUCUUUGGCAUCUUUCUGAAUAAGAAGCAUGGUAGAAAUGUGUGACAGAUCUGCAAAAAUACCCUCUAAUUUACCCAUUGGGCUUGUAUACAGGCACAUGGGUGGGUUUGCUAGCACAGAGAGGCACAGCAAAAAAUCAAAUUAAGUAUUGGCUUAGGGACAGCAUUCAUUCUCUCCAUAAAAAAGGAGAAAGCAUAAUUGUAGUUUAAGAGAGGGGAAUUAUUGAGCAUCACUCAUUAGAGUUUGAGUAGCCUCCAGUUUGCCAUCCAUCUGCUGAAAUGAAAUGUUGACUUUAAUUGAAACUGCCACCAAGAUGCUUGGUAGUAAAUUUCCUAAGUGGUCCGUGGGAGGUAUAUGCAUAAAUCCUAUUAGCAAAUAACAGGAUUCCUGCCUGCACCUCUCCUGUAUCUCCAAAGGUGUGACUCUGUCUUUUUCUUUGGCCCUUUGCUAGCUUUGUUUUAUGCAGAGGAAAAGGAAAAUAAAAGACAACAACAAAGCUAAAACAAAAGACGAUGAGGGAAAAUAUUUAGUGGCUGAGACCAGUGCUCUUGACACAGAGCUGACAUUCCUCAGAUGUGUGUAUUCUUUGGGAUUUUCUCUCAAAGGUCUUAUGUAUUUUUAAGUUGAAAAUUUGCAUUGUUGGGAUUAAUACUUUUAUUAUAAUUAAAUAAAACAGAAGGUGUCCAUGUGUAAAUAAAACCUGUAAGUUAGAAAUUUACUAUAUACUACAAUUUCAUUUGUAAAGAGUUCCUUGUUCCUUGGUUCAUAUUUUAGUUUUAACAGUGUAAUUUUUUCCAUACAAACAGGCAACACUGGCCUCAUUCUUAUCUAUUUUACAUCAGUGUCAUUUCAUUGAUUUUAUUCCUGAUAUGCCGCAACAAACACAAGCUCAAAAUCAGUCCUACUGUCUCUUCUCAUGAGUCACAGCCCCCUUUUCCCCUCUUCCAUCUAACCUCCCUCGUUUUGCCUUUCACGCCUUUUUGAGUGUGAAAUGACAAAUUAGCCACUUCCUCACAUGGAAGAGAGCUUUGAUGGAUACCAAAACGACAGGCUUUACUUGUUUCUCAUGCAUUCUACAGAUCUUGAGAGCAAAGUCUGUGGGAAACCCGAGUAAUUGGUGUGCACCUCAUUAAGGAACCAAAAAUGUUGGCUCUGAAAGUUGUAGAUUUGCCCUCACCCUUGCUAGUGUUUGUGUGUGCAUUCAGUCCCUGGUCUAUAAUUGCGUAGGUCCAGUUUAUGUCGUUGUUCAUUUCCUCUCUGUUGAAAGUCAGAUAUGGCAAAGUGUUUGUCAGAUUCAGAAAGGAAUCUUGGCUUACCCACGUUUCUUGUAAAACCUGAAAGCUGAGUUUGCAUGUGUUGUAUAAAAGCCAGCCAUACCAUAUGUCAUUAAUUUUAGAUGCUUUUUUUUAAUAGAAGAUGUAUGAGUUAAUUAGGAGAUAUUAGAUAGCAUGCGUACAAUGCUUUGAUAGUGUAAAGCACUGAGUGCUAACUAUUAUAAAAUAGGUCUGGGGGGGAGGGAGUUUCUCAGCACAGGACCUUUAAUCAUCAGAAAGAGUGAUGCUGCAGACAUUAACCAGUCAUACAGUACUUCAAGAAUAAGCAGAUGACUUUUUGGCAUUUGUACUGCAAAAUAAUGUAGGCCAGGCAUUUCACAAGAGUCUCGUCAUUUUGGGUACCUUGAUUUUAAGGCCAAUUAAGACUACUUAAAGGAGGUAUGGGGGGGUAUUAAACUACUACAUAUAAAGCACCCUGUGACAGGGAUAUUCAAUACUCUUGGCUGGAAGGUUAUGCUGACACCAUAUGGAACCUACCUAAUUACUCCUUAUUAGAUUUUUAUCAGCCCACAAAGUCCCAUUUUUCCGACCUGGACAUUAAGUAAAUGAGUGGAACCACACUUAGGCUAUGGGCUAAAAGGUGGUCCUCACUCACAUGCACUGACAAAGGACCUCCUCUUCUCCCCAGUGUUAAUACAGUACUGCAAUUAUUGCAUUUCACACAACUCUCAUCACCUUUGCCUACUUCAUAAAAAGCAAAUCAAUUUCUUCUGCUGUAUUUUAUUCUCCUCCAUGAAAACGAAAUAAUUUGACCAAUGUUAAGAUAUGACUAGGGGUAUGUAUUCUACAAAUGAACCCAACUGACUGACUUUAGUAGAAUUCUGGGAUGACUAGGGGUCUCAGUCCUGGGAGCAUCAGAUUUAAGUGGUUGAAUUAAAAUAUUAUUACCCUUAAAAACAACUUUCAUUUCAUUUAUUUCAAAUGUUGUUGCAAUGAGAUUCUUCUUAAAGAAAUGACCUCAUCACUCUUGGGUACAGUGGUAGCAUAAACCCCCAAGUGAGAUAUAAGGCCUCUUCCAUCAUGGGAAAUAAACUCAAUAUCCUCCAAACCAGUGUGCUGUAUUGGUUUCAUGCCACUCCAGGGAGCAUAUUUAAUAAUAUCACAUAGAUAAAAAUCUGUGUUUUGAUAUAGCUAGCAGGGCUAGCACUACUCCUCAUGCACAGCAGGUAUACACAUGUAAGGAGGCCAGGGGACCUUGGAGAUAAUGGAAUGAGAACUACAGGUCAGAGAUCACUACAGGAGCUAAGGCAUGGUUUAGUUAGGCAGGACUCAGCAGUGCAAACACAGGAGUAGGAGGAGGAGGAGCAGUGGGUCCUUCCACAACCUGCAGUCCCAGAGAGGGGUUGGGAGGAUGAGCUGGGCUAGAAAAUAGAACAGGAGAGGAUCCCCCUCUUUUCAAAGAUUUCCAUCUGUAUAAUUUAAAGGCUCAAUUCUAAGACUACUUAAAUUUCAAAUCAAUAAUUCGGGGUUCAACGGCACUGCUGUGAGCUGUGCUAUGAGCCACAACAGGCUCAUAGUUAAAAUGAAACCAAGCCUUACCUCCUUCAAGAGCUCCAUAAAAAUGGAGUUAAACGAAGUUUUGGUCCAGAGUGGAAAAAAGUUGCCUCCAGCUUAAUAACUGUAAGUUUUAAACAGAUCCCUUAGUGCAUAUGAUACAACAUAGAUAUUUAUUUACAUAUGCAUUCAACCAGGAGUCCAAUUAUUAAUACAUUAUAUUUUCCUUCAACAAAAUCUUGCCAUUGACCCUACACAAUCAAAAGGUCAGUGCUGGACUGAAGUGGCUUCAAACGGAUUCUUAGAAUAACCAGCACAAUGUGAACUGUAGUUAUAAACAUGCUGAAAACUGACUUAAGCUUUAAAGCUCAACAGGGCCCUAAACUUUGUAACGUUCUUGCAGUCAGUUAAAACAGAAAAUGGGAUUAACAGAAAAAGGAAUAAAGUAUUAACACAUAUUGUGAUAAACUAGUUCCGUUACUGGAAACUGUUCCAACAGGUGUGAAUGGGUGUUCAUGCCAUAAGCAAAUACUUUUCUCUCCCAGAAGUUAAAAUUACAUUGUUUGAGCUAUCUAAGUAUCUGAAUACUUUCCAGUUCAUAAGUAGAUUUUGGACCUGGCUCUUAUGCCACUCAUGCUGAAAUAAUUAGGUAAAUGCAACAGAUUUCCUUGGGUUCAUAUACUUUUGAGAUUAGAAAAUCCCAACAGUUCAAAUGCCAUGAACCCUUUAAUCUAACGAUGUUGGGUAUUGAUCUACAUUUAACAUUUUAGAUAAUGAAUUGUUGGUUUUGCUCAUUAUUCAUUUCAUGAGCCUGUCUCAUAAUAAUGUCUCAAUAUUUAUAAUGACUAAUGGAAAUUGAGCUUGUUAAUGUUUUGUCAUAUGAGCAUCUGAGUAUAGGAGUGCAUAUACAAAUGUUUUAUUUUCUGUUCAUUUUGUAACAGAGGUUAACUCGCAAAAGCCAAAUGUGAUGUCAAAAGUCAAGGUUCAGCUCAGCUUCCCCUGACAGCAGAGAUUAAAACCCUUCUGGAACUGAAUUGUAGUCUAAAUAGAUUAUAAUCUAUUUAUAGUCUGGUUCUCAAACACCUAAAGCUAUGUGUUGUUCUGUAGAGUAUAUUGGCCUGGUUCUUCUUGCACACAGUUAUAGAUGAGAUCUGGAGGUUUAAGGAAUUACAUCUGCAUGAAUGGAAAAUUAAGCCCACAUGCCUCUCUAAUAUAUUCUGUUACAUUUUAUAAACUUUAAAUGGUCUCCAUUAUAAUAUUUUACAACAGUGUUGCUAAUAUUACCCUGAACAAGGCUUCUGUCAUUAGCUGAAGUGUGACAUUCUUGGCAGUUGUAAUCCAGAUUUCAAGGUUUGUAAAAUAAGUUCAUUAUAGUAACAAAAAACAAAGGCAUGGGAAAAGAGUUUAAUUAUAAAUUCUACAAGGUGGAUUUGUAAGAUCUUGUUUCUACAUAUCAAAAUAGCGGUUAUCCUAAAAUGUGUCAGAAACACCAGUAUUUGUUUUCCUUUUUUGGUCAGGUAAGGAUACAUAACAAAUUGUAAUCCUGAUUUUAUCACUUGUCAAUGUGUAGCUGAAACAUCUGUCCUGACAGCUGUAGCAAGACUGAGUUUUACUUGCCUGUUCUUUUCUUCCACCAGUUAAACCCAUUGUCUCCUGCCUUUGAGACUUCCUGCUGCAUCAGGUAACCCCAGUUUUAUAUGGGAGAAUACUUUGUGAUUUGGUGUUUCCGCAACAUAAAAACAUCUUUACAAAGUCAUAGUAUCUUGCCUUCAGAUGAUGACUUUCCUAAGCAUUAGCUUUUGCGCUCAGUUGCAGAUGCAAAACAAACACUGUGAGGUAAAUUGGAGACCAGAUGGAGUUUUCAUUUACAAAGGAAAUUUUGGGGACUGUAGUUUAAAGCUCUCCUUUCUCUUUUUACUUAUGCAGUUGCUGUGUAUAAUUCUCCAAUUUAAAAUCAAAGUCUUUUGUGCUUUAAAGCAUAAGAUUUUCCAUGUGAUGCAAAAAAAAAAAAAACCAAAAAAAACCCAGAACAUUUCCAGGUGAUUUUUUUUUUUAUUGAUAUGGACUGUUGGUUAAUAGUUUAAAACAGAGCAAGCCAAGGAAAUAAUUUGUCCAGCCAUAGAUGGUUGUGAUAUUUGUAAGGAUCCCAGACACUUUUGAGUUUUGGUGGUGUUUCAUAUUCUGUUCCCUUCCUCUUAUGGUAUAGAAGUGCUUGGCUGUGGGUUUUGGGGCAGGGAGAGUGGGUUUUUUUGAGAGGGAGGCUGGAGUAGGUUCUUUUCAAGGGGUUGUUUUGGUGUUUUGUUUCAGUUUGAGGGGGUUUUUGUUGUUUUUGUGUGUGUGCAUAUGUGUGUGUGUGUUUGGUUUGCUUUUUAUGUUCUACUCUUUUUCUUUUUUCAUGUUAUUUCUCCUACUAAAAGAAAGUAUGCCCAAAGCCAGAUGCUUUCUGCUGGUGCAACAUAUGACGAAGCAGUAAGAGUAACAGAAGGCUUGGGCAGAAAUGAACAUAGUAUAAUUGCAAGAAGCAAAGUCAUCGCUUAAAUGGCUAUGCUGAGAGUAUAAAGACCAUUGUGCCAUAUCUGUGGUCAAAAAUGAGACUGAGGGAAGAUUUAGAGAAGGUAUAUUUUUUAAUUUCUGAAAUUUUGUCAAUCCACAAAAUCUAAUCUGUUAUCAGGUCUGUUAUCUGUAGUUGCCAGAAACAUUGAAAUAAAAAUGAAUUAACAGAAUUUCACAGAAUGUAAAUUUCUAAAUUUAUUUUCGUAUUCUGAAAUUAUUUAUUUAAAAAUGCUGUCAUUUUCAUUUAAAAUAUUUUACUUACAAUGUUUUUCACUAAGAAAAGAUUUUUUUUCUUAAAAUACUUUUUAAUAUCUGCACUUUAAUGUCUCUGCAAAAACAUUGGAAAAAUGGGAACAAUGUAAAUGGACUGCAAGUUUUAUGAGUUAUACCUCAUAUUUGACCAGUAAAGGCUAUAUUUUUUCCUAAAUCAUUACUCUUUCAGAAGCUCAGCAUAGGAAUUGUAUGCCAUGUAUACCUUCUUUUUUGAUUUGUAAGGCAUGAGUGGUACUUAGGUCAACGUGGUACUUGGGUUGACAUGUUAUUUAGCCUGACUUUGUGAGGGAGACUGAUUUUCACAUGUAGAAUAACUAUAUAGAGAGUAAUAAUACUGAAACAUUUCAAUAAGAGUAUCUAUAUGUAAAUAGUGCAGCUUAUUGAGUUGAUAUAAGUGAAAUAUAGCUUAAAUAAGCUAUGUGUUUGCCAUGCCUGCUGUUUUAUUAAAUCUUCUAAUCUUAUAUGCAAAGGUAACUGAAACAAAUGUAUAUUUUGUGCAUACUACAAUAAACUUCACAUUCUGAGA